AGCCCCGGCACAAGUUAAUGCGCUUCUCCAGAUUCGCACUGUGAUGUGAAACCCCACAAGGC
rnacentral:tRNA from 1 species